rnacentral:tRNA from 1 species
GGACUGGUGAGCUCAGUCGGUCAGAGCGUGGUGCUGAUAGCACCAAGGCCGCUGGUUUGAUCCCCGCUCAGUCCC